GGGUCAGUAGGUUGGUCGUGCCACCGGUACGUACUGGUCUCACUGAUUCCUCCUUCCUGAAGAACCGUAAUGCCAUUAAUUCGGUGUUGCGGGGAAACAGGACUGUUACUUUGGAAAAAUUAGAGUGUUUAAAGCAAGCUAACGCUUGAAUACAUUAGCAUGGAAUAAUGAAAUAGGACGAUCGAUCCUAUUUUGUUGGUUUCUAGGAUUGACGUA
rnacentral:rRNA from 1 species